rnacentral:lncRNA from 1 species
UGUUGCGCUGCCUCCUGCUAUUCUUUCCAGGUUUGAUCUGGUAUAUGUAAUGAUCGAUGAUCCAGAUGAUCAAACUGAUUACCAUAUUGCUCACCACAUUGUGAGAGUGCAUCAGAAGCAUGAAGAUGCUCUAGCUCCAGCAUUCACAACUGCACAGCUGAAGCGUUACAUUGCAUAUGCUAAAACUUUAAAACCAAAGGUUGGCUGUUUAAUCUUUCUAUGAUCAUGAUGUGGUUUUUGACUUGAAAAUGAGAUUUUAUGUUAUUGUACUGCCUAUUUUUAACAUCGAUUCUAUAAUUCAGCUAAGCUUGGAAGCCAGGAAACUGUUGGUUGACUCUUAUGUUGCUCUCCGAAGGGGAGAUACAACUCCUGGGAGCAGAGUUGCAUAUCGUAUGACAGUUAGGCAGCUGGAAGCAUUGAUCAGGUUGUCUGAGGCCAUUGCUCGGAGUCAUUUGGAAACUCAGGUACAUAUAUUCAUGAAAUAUGUUAUGCAUAUUUCAUUGUUAUGCAUUGUCAUCAUAUAUUCAUGAAAUUAUCCUUCCAGGUACAUCCGCGUCAUGUUCGUGUAGCAGUAAGACUGCUAAAAACAUCUGUAAUCAGGUACGGUACCAGUGAAAUUAUGCCAAAUAUCCUCUCUUCUAAAUGACUGGUGAAGAUGUGUAAUUUGUCUCUUCAUGCAGUGUGGAGUCCAGUGAGAUUGAUCUGUCUGAGUUUCAAGAAGAUAAUCGUGAUGAUGGUGAUGGUGGUGGUGAUGGAAAUGAUGGCAAUGAUCAAGGUGAUGCUCAACCAAGGAACAGGACUCCUGAACCGGCUUCUGGAAUAGCUGGUGCGAUUCAAUCACCUAAAUUCCUUCGAUUUUAUUUUAUAUGACCAUUUUUAAUUAAGGAAAACCUCGCCUUUUUAUUGUCCAGGAAAUGGAGCCAGUUCUGCGAACCGACAAGGGAAAACACUUGUUAUAAGCGAUGAAUAUUUCCAGAGGGUCACCCAAGCCCUGGUAAUGCGCCUUAGACAGCAUGAAGAAUCUGUAAUACAAGAAGGUAACUUCCUGAACCAUCGGUCUUUCAUGUUCAUAAGUGAAUGGUUUGAAUAUAUCAAACAUAAGGUCUUUGGAGAUAGGGUAUUUAGCACAACCGUUAAUCUUCUUCCAAAUAUGAGUUUUUACCACAUUUGGAUGGUCAACACUAGCUGGUGAAUCUGAAGCCCUGCUUCAUGAUUAACCACCAGGACUUGUUCCCACCAUGCAUGAUCCAUUAAUAGUCAUUUUUCUUAAGCAAUUUCUGAGCUUUUUGCCACUUGCAGGGACUGGACUUGCUGGAAUGAGGCAGAAGGAUUUGAUAAAAUGGUAUGUGGAACAACAGAAUGAGAAAAACACCUACAGUUCUAUGGAGGAAGUGAAAAAGGAAGUUUCCAAACUCAAAGCUAUUAUUGAGGUACGAUAGUACUCAUCUUAAUUCUGAUAAACGAAGCUCCAAAUGUCAUAUUUCAACUUAAUAUUGUUUCGUUAAUUAUUUUAAAUAAUCAAAUACUUGCAAUGCAGAGUUUGAUUAGGAGGGAAGGUCAUCUGAUAGUGGUGGAUGAUGGUAGACAAGCAGCAGCGGAAGGUGAAGGGCGCCCAUCUAGAGAUGACAGGAUAUUAGCCGUGGCGCCAAAUUAUGUCAUUGACUGAUAUGCAAAUGGAUCAACAAGUGAGAAGCUACAAGAUCUUUCUACGGUUCAUAAGCUAUCACAAGCUGGACAGCAUGAAGGCUAUAUGGAUAAGAUCUUUAUGGCCAGCAAACUAGAAUCUGAAGCUUAUUACUGUUGAAAGUCCGUCAUGAAAAAGAGUUGGCGUAAAGGUAUUGGAAACACAAGUCAAAGAUUGAUGUGCAUGUUGUAAUCUGGUAAUUUAAGUAAUGUUACUGCUUCAUCGUGAUGAUGUUGGAUGUUGGCUCAUACCAUUAGUUUCUAAUCAAACAAGCUUGUACAAUUUAGAAUGUAACAAGAACAUUGCCUUUGCAUAACUAAAUCAAGUGGGGGCUUCUUCAUUACUUCUCGACUGCAUAUAUUUUCUUUUUCUUUUUCUUUUUCUUUUUAGCUGUCAGAUCCCACCAUGUUUUUUAAAGCUGAGGGAAUCAGGCGAGCCAACACUAGUACUUGAGCUGUCUUGGAUUGGGAAAGGCGGUUAUUUCUUACCAAUCCUUUGUGUUGUUAGUUGUUACAUAGAACAAAAAUCAAAUAUGCUUAGAUUAAUGAGCUUGCUGUCUGGCCCUGAUCUGGCAAUGGCAUUUGCUUCCAAGCUUAUCAAUGGCACGCUUCAUGUGGGUCUGUUCCUAUCUCUGAAUUGUGACAAUCGUUUUGAACAACUUAUUUUCUUGUCGGUGUAUGCAAACCUUUUGCCAGUUGCUACAUGCUACUACUUUCAGCCACGAAUGAGCUGCAGUGCAAGUUUCAUCCAAUUUAUCAUUGUUAUUAUUAUUAUUAUUUGUAAAGCAGUUUUGAGAAAUGUUUGUUCAGAUUUUGGCACAUGUAACUUGAAAAAUGAUCCAUUAUUGUCUAUUCAGUACGUAGACAGGAUGUCAAUUCAUUAGUUGGAUUUGCCUCACCAACAUUUUCUUGUUGAUCGUAUCCAGGGUGAGGCCACGGGUCAGGUAUGCCAAUUGAUUAAUAAAGUGAUUUGAAAAAGAAAAACAAAUGGGUGGGCUUGGUUCUAGUAUCGGGUGAGCCCAGUAAAUUAUGUGGGGACUUGGGCCUACCCUUCAGGCUUCUGAGCUAAAAAAUUAAUUAGCAAACUAAUACAACAGCAGAUAUUAAAAUUUGUCAGGUAAAUUUCACGAACAGAAAAGGAUUAAGAUUAUAUUUAAGUACUCAAAUUUUAUAUUCUGUGAAAUAAUCUUUUGAAAGUUCUAUUAACUCAAAAGAGUUUAGUGGGAACAAUAACAUAGGGCAGGCAAUUAGGUCAAGAGACUCGAACAAACAAGCCUCUAAUUUAUCUGUCAAAACUAGGACAAUUUGUUACGUGUAGCAUUUUUAUCUCUCGAUCGCUAUUCAUUUUUAUAUGCACGAUCAGUUGAAUAAGAAAAAGAAAUGGAAUGUCAAAAUCAAAUGAAAUGCUUAGGUUAGAAAAGUUAACGUAUUAAAGUUGGACUAGAAUAGGCAAAUAAGGUUAGAGAAAGCUAUAAAAUUAAUUACACUUUCAUUUUCAAUGGGAGAAUGAGUCCUUAUCAUUAUCAAUUGAGUUUUGCACUCAAACGCAAUGCUACGUCAUGUUCAUUUUCUUGUUUAAUUAUGCAAUUUUGAAAUGGACUACUUGUAAUCUUGCACCAUUUCAUGUGUUGUCACCUCUAUCCUCAUCCUCUCAACUUGCCCUAAUUUUAAUUUUCCUUCUAAUUGCUCGUACCAACUCCACUUUGCCUAAUUUUCAAGUUCAGAAUAGUCCAAAAAACAAAAUGUUCUUCUUUCCUAUGUACAUAAUUUUCAUACUACCUAUGUGCAAGUGAAUCUGCACAAUAUGAAGAUUCAUUAAUCUACUUCUAUUACAAAAAUAAUUUUCCUUUUUUCUUUUAAUAAUAAUUGCUUACAUUUUUAUUCUGUCAUAUUUAUUAUAAAUUAGUACAUAUAGGAAGGACAUUAUUCUAAUGACACAGGCAUUAAAAUAUAAAAAGAUGAGAAAGAAAGUAAUUGAAACAUUUUGGAUAUUAAAUAAUUUUAUUAAAAUAUGCACUUUUAUUUGGAACUAGGCCAUAGCCCACAGUUUUUUUUUUUAUAUAAUUUUUAUAAUUUUUUUAUUUGUUAAUCCAUAAAUGCCUUUAUUUUAAAGCAAAGUGAAUAUUGUCAAGAUUGGCAACUCAAUUUUGAAAUAUCCAUUGUAGAAUCUUGUCGUAAUUGUUUUAGUUAAAAAUAAGAUUUAAUAGAGUGCUAAUUUUAAAUCUUAAUGUUAAUUUAAUACUCGAUACUGUAAAAUUUAUUUAAAUAUAAUAAGUACUGUUGUUAAUUUAAUACUUGACAUUGUGAACCUAAAUGACUGAAUCAAAGAAGGUGUUGUCUAAUACCUGAUAUCCUAUUAUAAAUAUCUUCUACUCUAUUAAUUCCUUUAUCAGUCAAGACUUCUAAUAUUAUUUCAUACAUGGGAAAAUAAGUACAGUUUCUUUUAUGUAUUUUAAAAAUUGUCAUUUUAUGAAAUUUAUGAUCUCCAACAAAUUAAUUAAAAGCUUUCUUAAGGUUAAAUAAUAAUUUUUAUUUUUUCCCGUUUACAAAAUAAGUAGAACUAUUUGAACUCACCAAAUUUAUCUCUUAACUCAUUUUAGAAAAUACAUUUAUUAUUUAUGAUUUAAAAUUUAAAAAUCUCAAAUUCACCUUUCACUGAUCUCUUUCUCUCUCUCCUCACAAUUGCAAAGUUUCUCUCUAUCCUCACAUUUUACAAACUAAACUUUCAAAUUCACUGUCUUUUGAAUUUUUUUUUUACCUUUUUUAUUAAAUCAUAAUCUCUAUUUCAUGGUUGGUAAAAGUUUGUCGAUGGAUUUUACUUUAUGAUAACAAAACCAAUUAUUUACCCAUAAAAUAAAAUAUGUAAAUAAAUUAAUGAGAAUUGAAGAUUUAAGAAUGAAAAGAGAAGAAAGGGUUAAUUAUAAGUAAUUCUGUUAGAAUUAUUUUGAUAAUAAAAUUCUUAAUUAAAAAUAUGAUGUAAAGAGAAAAUUGAUAGGUUCAAAUAAUCUCAACUUUACUCCCCAUUUAAAAGAGAGAUGGUGAGAGAGAAAAAACAAAAAACAAAAAUAUCAAUACAAGAUUCUCAAAAAGAUUGUCAAGGUUUUGGAUUAUGCUUUCUCAUCUAAUGAGUUUUGAUUUAGUAUCUUAAAGCCAAUAUCAAGAAAUAUCUAGAAGGCAUGUGUUGAAGGAAAGCGUGUGAUCAAUAAUAAUUUGAGUCAACACAAACAAUUCGAAUUCACCAAAUAUAUAUAUAUAUAUAUAUAUCUUUGGUUGUGGAUAAUGAGGCAUCUUUGAAAGCAGGGUUUUUUUUUUUUUUUUGUAGUUAUUAUUUCUUCUAGGUUUCGUAACCAUUAAAUUCAACUUUCCCACCAAAGAAGAACAGAAAAAAGAAAUUCAUCACUUGCCAGAUAAGAAGCUCAUAAAAAUAUAUAAACGGUCAUGGUCAUAAAAUCGACCAAGUAGCCAGAAUUAAUGUCGACAGUCGACACCCAUUCUUCCAAUACAAUUAAAUUUUUGUCUUUUCACUGUUAACACCUGAAGAAUUUAUCAUACAACAAACACGAUACAUGGGCAUCACUUGCUCCUGCUAUAGUUAAUGGGAUGUGUUAACAAUUUUUUUUUUUUCCCCACACAAAAAUCUGCAUGAAGAUUCUUGGAUCUUCUCAAAUAUCGCGACAAAUCUGUAGUCUUGUUUCUUUUUCUUUUUUUUUUUUUUUAAUAAAAUUCCAUAUGCAUUCACAGAAGAAAAAAAAAAAAAAAGGAAGAAGAAGCACAUACGUUUCCAAUUUAUAAAAACCAUGCGUUAUUGUCGAUCAUAAUUGAAGGUAUCGUCAACAAGCAAGUAAUAUAAUAACCCAAAAACACCAACAAAGUGUUGGCUCCACUGGCAAUGGAGUCCCCUUGUGUGGUUUGACUGAGUUUGCUCCCCAGUUCGAGUCGCAGGGAAGUCGCCUUUGUUGGGAGAACAUGUGCCUCUCGGUUCGAGCGGGGACUUAUAGUCUGGGUUGUGGUACGGGCUUAAAGGUGCCUCCCACAGUUGGGGCCCUCCCCAGAAUACCUCGUGGUCAAAACAAAAAAAAAAAAAAAACCAAAAAACCAAACCCGAUAAUAGUCCAAACUUUGUUAACUCAAGAUACCCAAAUGAAUAAUUUUUAUUUUGAUUUGAUAAAUAGUCAUUAAUCCAUUUUUAUUGUCUUCUUACUCUGUUUUUGCUUAAAUUCAAAAUACUUAUUAAGCACUCCACGUGCAUGCAAGCUAGCGAUAUGAUAUCUUGUUGCAUGAAUAUUAUGAAAAAUGUUAAGAGCGUCUUAUGUCGUGUAUGUAGGACCAGAAAUUUUAUCUCAAUCUAAGGAUACUACUUAGGAUUUUUUUUUUUUCUGCUUCUCUUAUGAUUAUUAUUAUUGUUGAUGCGAGAUUCUGGUUGUCCUCGUUCUACGACCAGGGUCUCUGCUCGAUCAACUUCACCACGACCAGGAUCUCUCCUCGUAAAGCUUCUUCUCCAGAGGUUCCUGCGCACACAGACAGGUCAGAGUACGCCGGUUGUUUUCCCGGCGCAAACCCUCCGACGCUCAAGUCAGAAAUAGGGGUUCUGGGAAUGUUUGCCACGAAUCUUAUGGCUUCUUUUUAAUCUCAAUUCUCGGAACUUUCUUUUCUUAGUUCUAAUAGCAAAAAGUCUAACCCUUUUACCUUCGCUGGCUACCUUUUUAUAGGCUUCCUCUGAAUCCCAGUCUUCCGUAGUCCACACCCAUUAUUCUCCCCACCCUCGGAUGUGGAUGCCCCAUUGUAGUCAUUGUGGGCGAAUGGAGAUGGUCUUCGUGCCUUGAUUCUCGAAUAGGAAUGUACGUCUUGCCAACUGUCGUUGACCGGGUCUCCUCGCCUCGACUCCUAGCAGGAAUGGCCUUAUGCCUCUAACGGGAGUUCAUCCUCAUGAAUGGCAUAUUCGUGGACAAGCAGAAUAUUCUUGCUGCUGCUCCUCUGCUACCAGGCUCUUACAGAACACACCUGUUCGCAGAACUCUACUACCCAAUAUCUGCUCAUCACGUCUGGUCUCGUCGAAGUAUUUCUCUGAAACAAUUAUUAUUUUUUUCAAGUGCAUAAGCUAUUGAAAAGAUCGAAAAUUUGGCAACUACGUUCUAGCAUGUAAUAGAAUUUUCAAAAUUUAGGAUAACAUAGGGGAAUAUUUUAUUAUUUUUGAAAAAAUUGAAAAUAGAAUUAUUAGUCAAUUGACGGCUUUGAUUGUGAAAAAUUGCUCCAGCGAAGCCAUGUGAGAACAGAUCAACAUCAGUAUUAGAAACCUAUUGAAACUGGCCCCACUUUAUGAUAAUUCUGCCACCUUUGAUUGAAGUGAUUGCCAGCUCUCCACACUCCCCAUUUUACCCCUGGAAUUUUACACUUAUUUCAAGCCUAUCGGGGGCAUUUAUAAUAUUGUUUUUAAUAAUUGUUUUUUUUAUGAAAAUUAUUUUUUAAAAUGAUACUUCAAAAAAAAAAAAAAAGAAGUUUCCAAAUUACAUUAAACACCAAAUUGAAUACGUUUCUUUUUCUUUUUAAACUUGUUUUAAAAAAAAUUACUGAAUAAUCACUUAAUUGUUCGAAAUCAUUGUCAAUUCAAGUAUAACAAAUAAAUUAAUGGGAGAGUUGGCUAACAUGAGAAUUUUUUUAAACAAAAAAGUUAUGCGUAAAAUUCUCUAAUUUUAAAUUGAGAGGGAGUUACUAAAAAAAAGAAAAAUUUGCAAGGCGGGCAUAAAAUUGGAUAUAUAAAACUCAAAAGGGUAUAUUUGGAAAAUAAUUAGGAAACAAAAGGGUUUUUUUAAUAAAAAAAAAGAAAAAAGAAAAUGGGUAUUGAAUGUGUAUACGAUGAUGCCACGGUCAUAAAAUUAGGAGGGACACACGGUUGGCUCAAAACAGUUGCAUUGAGGUAGACUUUUAUUGAAGCCUUGGGGAGACAGACAGCCAGAGGAAGGAGAGUUAAAAGAAGUGAGUGCAUAGCUAUUCAGAUUCUUUUAGCAAACUUCUGCUUGCUGCACCAAGCCACCAACUCAACUCAGGUUUCUCUCUUUUUAAUUAUUUCAAUUUUUAUUAAUUUGAUUUGGUCCCCACAAAUUUUAUUUAGCUGUUUGCUUGUUGAUUAGAUUUUUCUUUCAGAGGGACUCAUUUGAUUGGAAAAAAGAAGAAAGAUGGGGUACUGGAAAUCCAAGGUCCUCCCAAGGAUCAAGAAAGUUUUCGAGAAAAACGGAACCAAGAAAGCUGCUGCUGCUGAGGCUUGCAAGUCCUUUGAUGAUUCAAAGGUUGUCUUUAUGUAUAUGUACAUAUGUGUCCUUUUUAUUUAUUUAUUUUGCUUGUUGUUUAAUUAACAAUUAUGUUGAGCUUGCUAUAUAUGCGCGUUUGUAGGAAGAAAUCAAUAAAGAGUUUGAAGAGAAGAAGCCUGAGCUCCAACCUAAAGUGGUCGAAAUCUAUGAAGCUUCUUCAGCUGAAAUCAAGGUCUCUACAUGAAUGAACAUACCAAAUCUGUUAUAGCUACAAAUGUCAGAGAGAAUUAAAAAGAUCCAAUUCAUGCAAGUUUUUAUUUAUUAAUUUAACCUUUUUUUUUUUUUUUGGCUUUGGCUUUGGCGUUUAAAUGAAAAUACAGACCCUGGUCAAGGAUCGCAAGGAGGAUGGACUUAAGAAGCACUCCACUGCUGUGCACAAGUUACUUGAAGAACUCGUUAAAAUCGGUAAAAUAGUUCUAUCACAUAUGGUAUUAUUAAUUAAAGUUAAGGUCAUGUGUUAAAAUCACAUGAGAAUUUUAUUAACAUAUAUGUAUGUGUGUAUAUACAGAGUUUCCAGGAUCAAAAGCAGUAAGUGAAGCAUCGUCAAAGUUUGGGGCAGCCUCUGUUCCGGGGCCAGUUUUCUUCAUAUUUGAGAAGGUCUCAACGUUUAUUGUUACUGAAGAAAAAGCAGCAGAGCCAGCAACCGCGGCAGCAGGAGAAGAAACAAAACCAGAACAAGAGACAACAAGUAGUAGUACCGCCGCAGUCACAGAGAAGGACGACGUAGUUGUUGAGGAAGAGAAGAAAGAAGAGGCCCCCGCCGGCCCUGAGAAAACUGAGCCGGCAGAAGCCGCCGCCGCCCCAGCCCCAACUGAGCCUCUUCCUGCCGCCGCCAAGGAGGACCAACCAGCUGCUGCAGAGCCACCAAAGCCUUGAGAACAUGCAUCAACUGACAAGACAAAUUCAUAUCCAUAUAUACAUAGAUAUAUAUUUCAUAUUCAUCAAGUGAAAGUGAAGUAAUAAUGUUAAUAUUUUGUGUACGUAAAAGUCUUGUAAAAUGCAAAACAUGAUUUGUUAUUCUUUCUUUUUCCUCUAUAUGCGCAUGUAUAUCACCUACUUGUUUUUUUUUCCCUUGUAUUAUUUUGUUUUACAGUCUUUAUUUUUACUUUCUUUAUUAUUAUUAUUUUUUGUAUUUGUGAAUUAUUAUUAUUUGUAAUAUUUAAUUUUUACAAUACAGGGAUUAAUGUGGUGGGUGGAGAUACCCUUAACGCUUUAGUUGCUUUCAUUGAUUUGAUUGUAUGUGUUUUCCUCAUGGAGAUCAUUUAAAAAGAGAUAGGCAAAAAAAAAAAGAAAAAAGAAUAUUGAUGAUGAGAAGUUAUUUGUUUAUAAUUAAUAAUUCCAAGCUCCCUCUUUCUCGCUAUUUAAUUUAUAAGUGUGUAAUGUGCUCUCUUGACCUACACUUGUGUGUUUCAUUUAUAUAAAUGGGUUGGUGAGGGAAAGAAUUAAAUGUGACUAAUAACGCAAAAAAUAAAUAAUACUUGGGUUUUACAGGGAUGAUUAUUUGUUUACCUUUACAUUGAAGAACUAAAACGAUAUAAUAAUAAUUAUGCAAUGAAGAGGGUCAAAGAUUUUUCUUCUCUUGUGCUUGAAAAUUUCCUUGUCAUUCGUUCUUCUUUUGUUGGUUUCUCUUAUCCUCAUGAAUGGAAAUUUUUUCUCAUUAUUUUUCCUCUCAAUAGCCUACUAGUACUUGUUUUUUUUUUUUCUGAAGCUAAAUUCCAUCACUAAGAUUGUUGAUAAACAAUUAGUAACGACCAAUUAUGAUACUACUUUUGGUCUUUGGUGUGCAACUAUACAUGCACAUAGAUGGAAAAACCUGUAACUCCAUGCUCAUAUAUAUGAUGCAAACGCUAAUUUGGA